rnacentral:rRNA from 1 species
UGCUUCAGCUGACGACCGGCGUACGGGUGCGUAACGCGUAUGCAACCUACCUAUUACUGGGAGAUAGCCCAGGGAAACGUGGUUUAAUAUCCCAUAGUACUAUAAGAUAGCCUUAUUUAAUAGUUAAAGAUUUAUCGGUAAUAGAUGGGCAUGCGUGACAUUAGCUAGUUGGUAAGGUAACGGCUUACCAAGGCGACGAUGUCUAGGGGACCUGAGAGGGCGAUCCCCCACACUGGUACUGAGACACGGACCAGACUCCUACGGGAGGCAGCAGUAGGGAAUAUUGGACAAUGGAGGCAACUCUGAUCCAGCCAUGCCGCGUGUAGGAAGAAGGCUUUCUGAGUUGUAAACUACUUUUAUACGGGAAGAGAUAGCCAUGCGUGGUGAAGAGACGGUACCGUAAGAAUAAGCACCGGCUAACUCCGUGCCAGCAGCCGCGGUAAUACGGAGGGUGCAAGCGUUGUCCGGAAUUAUUGGGUUUAAAGGGUGCGUAGGCGGACUGAUAAGUCAGAGGUGAAAUCCAAUUGCUUAACAAUUGAACUGCCUUUGAUACUGUUAGUCUUGAAUUAGGUAUAGGUAGGCGGAAUUUAUUGUGUAGCGGUGAAAUGCAUAGAUACGAUAAAGAACUCCGAUAGCGUAGGCAGCUUACUGGACCUAUAUUGACGCUGAGGCACGAAAGCGUGGGUAGCGAACGGGAUUAGAUACCCCGGUAGUCCACGCCGUAAACGAUGUUCACUGGAUGUUGGCGAUA